UAACGAUAAAGCGGGUGAAAAGCCCGCUCGCCGGAAGACCAAGGGUUCCUGUCCAACGUUAAUCGGGGCAGGGUGAGUCGACCCCUAAGGCGAGGCCGAAAGGCGUAGUCGAUGGGAAACAGGUUAAUAUUCCUGUACUUGGUGUUACUGCGAAGGGGGGACGGAGAAGGCUAUGUUAGCCGGGCGACGGUUGUCCCGGUUUAAGCAUGUAGGCUGAUUAUCCAGGCAAAUCCGGAUAAUCAAGGCUGAGGUGUGAUGACGAGGCACUACGGUGCUGAAGUAACAAAUGCCCUGCUUCCAGGAAAAGCCUCUAAGCAUCAGGUAACAUCAAAUCGUACCCCAAACCGACACAGGUGGUCAGGUAGAGAAUACCAAGGCGCUUGAGAGAACUCGGGUGAAGGAACUAGGCAAAAUGGUGCCGUAACUUCGGGAGAAGGCACGCUGGUGUGUAGGUGAAGCCCCUGCGGGUGGAGCUGAGACCAGUCGAAGAUACCAGCUGGCUGCAACUGUUUAUUAAAAACACAGCACUGUGCAAACACGAAAGUGGACGUAUACGGUGUGACGCCUGCCCGGUGCCGGAAGGUUAAUUGAUGGGGUUAUCCGUAAGGAGAAGCUCUUGAUCGAAGCCCCGGUAAACGGCGGCCGUAACUAUAACGGUCCUAAGGUAGCGAAAUUCCUUGUCGGGUAAGUUCCGACCUGCACGAAUGGCGUAAUGAUGGCCAGGCUGUCUCCACCCGAGACUCAGUGAAAUUGAACUCGCUGUGAAGAUGCAGUGUACCCGCGGCAAGACGGAAAGACCCCGUGAACCUUUACUAUAGCUUGACACUGAACAUUGAGCCUUGAUGUGUAGGAUAGGUGGGAGGCUUUGAAGCGUGGACGCCAGUCUGCGUGGAGCCAACCUUGAAAUACCACCCUUUAAUGUUUGAUGUUCUAACGUUGGCCCCUGACCGGGGUUGCGGACAGUGUCUGGUGGGUAGUUUGACUGGGGCGGUCUCCUCCCAAAGCGUAACGGAGGAGCACGAAGGUUAGCUAAUCCUGGUCGGACAUCAGGAGGUUAGUGCAAUGGCAUAAGCUAGCUUGACUGCGAGCGUGACGGCGCGAGCAGGUGCGAAAGCAGGUCAUAGUGAUCCGGUGGUUCUGAAUGGAAGGGCCAUCGCUCAACGGAUAAAAGGUACUCCGGGGAUAACAGGCUGAUACCGCCCAAGAGUUCAUAUCGACGGCGGUGUUUGGCACCUCGAUGUCGGCUCAUCACAUCCUGGGGCUGAAGUAGGUCCCAAGGGUAUGGCUGUUCGCCAUUUAAAGUGGUACGCGAGCUGGGUUUAGAACGUCGUGAGACAGUUCGGUCCCUAUCUGCCGUGGGCGCUGGAGAAUUGAGGGGGGCUGCUCCUAGUACGAGAGGACCGGAGUGGACGCAUCACUGGUGUUCGGGUUGUCAUGCCAAUGGCACUGCCCGGUAGCUAAAUGCGGAAGAGAUAAGUGCUGAAAGCAUCUAAGCACGAAACUUGCCCCGAGAUGAGUUCUCCCUGAGACUUUAAGUCUCCUGAAGGAACGUUGAAGACGACGACGUUGAUAGGCCGGGUGUGUAAGCGCAGCGAUGCGUUGAGCUAACCGGUACUAAUGAACCGUGAGGCUUAACCUU
rnacentral:rRNA from 1 species